UCCGUAGGGUGCAAGCGUUAUCCGGAUUCACUGGGUUUAAAGGGUGCGUAGGUGGGCAGGUAAGUCAGUGGUGAAAUCUCCGGGCUUAACUCGGAAACUGCCAUUGAUACUAUCUGUCUUGAAUACCGUGGAGGUUAGCGGAAUAUGUCAUGUAGCGGUGAAAUGCUUAGAUAUGACAUAGAACACCAAUUGCGAAGGCAGCUGGCUACACGAAUAUUGACACUGAUGCACGAAAGCGUGGGGAUCAAACAGG
rnacentral:rRNA from 1 species